CACAUAAAAAGUGCAAGGGGUUUUCAAAUUACGUUUUUCUUCUUUUCUUUUUUUGUAAACGUGGUCAUUCUUGACCAUCUAAUCUACUUAGGCUUACCUUUCACGUUAAUUAGAUUAUUAAUUGUUUAUUUGUUAAUUAUAUGUGAGAAGGUGAUAGGCUUCUUUAGUCAAGAAGUCGGUCACUCUCAAGGUUGAAUUCUGUAAAUUGUUCCUUGAUGUUCAACUCAUCCUCCCACGUAGCUCCUUCUUUUCCCCCUUCUUGCCACUCAAUCAGUACCUGUGGCACCAUCUCCCCCUGUUGCUGCUUUACCCUUCUUUGUAGCACUUUCAGUGGCCAACAAAGAGGCCCCUCGACCUGUAGCUCUGCUGGUAGGUUCCCUUCCACCUGUUGUGUCCCAAUCGCCAGUUUCAACUGGGAGACGUCAAACAUAGGGUGAAUCCGAGCUGUUUUCGGAAGCUGCAACCGAAAAGCAACCGGUCAAAUUUGUUUGAGCACCUGGAAGGGUCCGUAAUAACGGGCCGACAGCUUAGGGUGUAAUCUCGUAGGCAUGGAAGCUUGCCUAUGAGGUCUGAUCUUUAAGAAAACCCAGUACCCCUCCUUUAUAUUAGAUGCCCUCCUUUUCCUAUUCGCAUACUGCGUCAUCUGGUCUUGGGCUCUGGCCAGAUGAUACUUCAACUACUUCAACACUGGUUUGCAACUCUUGCGCUACUGCUUCGGCCACCGUUUCCUUGGGGAUAAACCUUGUUAAAGUGGGUGGAUGCCUCCCAUAAACUAUUUCAAAAGGGGUACAUUCAACGGCCCCCUGAUACCAUGGUUUUACUUUUCAGGGUCACUGCAAGCAAUAUGUUUGGAAGAAUGCCUGAAAGAAUACAAAUCUUUGGAGCUACUUUAUUGUGGAAACCAUUUUAUUAGAACCAAUAAGUUUGCAGCUUUCUACCUGAACUCAAUGUUUUAUCACACUUCAAAAGAUGCUCUCAACCUGCAAUGGUAUCAGAAUGAGUUUCCCAAGGUGAAGGAAUUGACCCAUUUACUAGCACAUGUGGAUGCAGUUAAUGGUAGACUCAUUGAUGUAAAGAGUAAUUCAACCCUUUUUGAUGAUGACAUUGAGCGUGACAUGUGUACCUUCAAGUCCCUUGUUCGUGGGUAUGUUGGAUCCACAUUUGUUCAGCACAAAAUGAAACAUGUUAUGACCUCUUUUGUUUUAAAUGCAAAACAUGAAUCUUUUACCCCUUUUGGUAAAGCAAAUGAAAGAGAGCCUAUGGUGGUUGAUUCACUAACUAAAGUGAGCAACUUUCUUAGUGUUUCUGCUCAACAAAGGAAGUUGGUUCGUCACAAAGUGUGCUCCCAGGUUACUCAGCAUCACAUAUGGACUGGUGCACUUAAAGAAGUUCUGAAUGGUUUUGCAGUUGAUUUGGAUUGUUUGUCUUCUCGGGGCUUAAAUAACGAUGCUUUAUUGGGUGGCCAAAUUGUUCAUAGCUGUUUGAACUUUCUGACUGAAAUUGGUGUCUUUUCGGAUCCCGGGUCUUCUUCAUGGAUGAAGCUUUCAUCUUCUAAAAUGUUUGAUUUCGGUGACCCACAAAAAUGGGAAGAUGUUCUUGUGAUGUUCAAUGAUCUUAUUGAAUGCUGUAAAAAGGAAAGAAGGUUGAAGUUGCAUGUAGCUAAGGCUGAGAUCAUGAAGGAGGGGCUUUUGCACAUAAGGGAUGUUUCAGUUGACAACAGUGUUGGAUAUAAGGAAGCUCAGCAUCAAGAAAGCCUUGUGAGGAAGAAGCUUUCCAAAAUGUUGGGUCACUCCUCUCGCUGCUUAUUCACUUUAUUACUGUAUUACCUCUAUGGAAGGGUGGUAGAUAUUGAAGUAGACAUGUGUGGUGGGGUCUAUGCAAAUGGAAGUAAUGGCAAGUUUUGCUUGUUUAUGGGAAGAAUCCUGACUUCAGAUAGUGAGAAGAUGAUUGGGCGUGGUGUGAAGCAGUUGGACCGGGCACUAGGGAUUUUCAAGUUUGUGUGGGAAAUGGCUGAAAUGAAAGGGCAUUUGGACUUGCAGGGCCAUAUGUGGUGUGUUGGAGCAGACAGUAGAAUUCUUAGGAAAACGAUCUUAUUUUCCAAGUUGCGAAUUUUAAUACCUUGGUCAAUAUUGAAUUGGCAAUGGAGGCGUGAGCCCCAUGUGCAAAUGAAAGAUAGACCCUUUGGUUUCUCGCUGGGCUCCUCAACUUUUGGAUUAAAGGUUGUCACAAAAGAUAAAAGUGAUUACCUGUGUUACAUUGCAAGUGUUGAUGUUUGUGAAAACAACCCUAUUCGGUCCAUGAUGCUAAGCUAAGAGUGAACUCCAAUGGGCAAACUGUAAGUCCUGACUGCAAAAUUUCUUAUCCACUUUCUCAUUUUUAUAAGAGAAGCUCACCAUAUUGAAAUCAUAUAUUCUUCAUUUCAUGUGUGUACUCCCUGAUUACUUAUAUGCUCAAAAUGGGCAAUACUUAUUCAUUCACCUAGGAGUCUAGAUCAAUUUGAGGUUAGGGAAAAUGAGAUAACAGCUCAGUGGCACUGUUGGUUUACCUGCAAGUAACAAGCACACAUCUCAUAAAGGCAUUAAUUAUGUCAGCAUUGGUGUUCUUUUGGUAACUAUCAGUGAUCUCCUCAUUCAAACAUAACUAUGGUGCCUACUUUGACAAUGUCCAUGCCGGUGUUUGUGGUCCAGUUCAAUUGGUAUCAAUAAAGAAUAACAGAGUGCUUCCAUUGGCAACUGCUUAGUGG